GGCUCGGGAUGAACGUGGGCGGCGUGCCUAAUACAUGCAAGUCGAACGAAGACUGUAGUAAUACUGUCUUAGUGGCGAACGGGUGAGUAACGCGUGGGUGACCUGCCCCGAAGUGUGGGAUAACAGUCCGAAAGGAUUGCUAAUACUGCAUAAUAUCCAAGAGAUUAGACGCUUUNGGAUUAAAGGAGUAAUUCGCUUCGGGAGGGGCCCGCGUCCCAUCAGCUAGUUGGUAAGGUAAUGGCUUACCCAAGGCGAUGACGGGUAGGGGACCCUGAGAGGGUGGCCCCCCCACAAUGGAACUGAAACACGGUCCAUACACCUACGGGUGGCAGCAGUAGGGAAUAUUAGUAAUGGGCGAAAGCCUGAACUAGCAACGCCGCGUGUGCGAAGAAGGCCUUCGGGUCGUAAAGCACUUUUUGAGAGGAUGAGGAAGGACGGUACUCUCAGAAUAAGUCUCGGCUAACUACGUGCCAGCAGCCGCGGUAACACGUAGGAGGCAAACGUUAUCCGGAUUUACUGGGCGUAAAGCGCGUGUAGGUGGUUUGGUAAGUAGGGCGCGAAAGCUCCUGGCUCAACUGGGAGAGGACGUUCUAAACUGCCAAGCUUGAGGAUGGUAGAGGGAGGUGGAAUUCCGGGUGUAGCGGUGGAAUGCGCAGAUAUCCGGAGGAACACCAGUGGCGAAGGCGGCCUCCUGGACCACUCCUGACACUCAGACGCGAAAGCUAGGGUAGCAAACGGGAUUAGAGACCCCUGUAGUCCUACCCCUAAACGAAGUAGGCUUGGCGUCGGUGGGUUAAUCGCCAUCCGUGUCGUAGGUAACCCGAUAAGUCUACCGCCUGGGGA
rnacentral:rRNA from 1 species